GCGUGCAUCGUAUAAUGGGUAUUACCUCAGCCUUCCAAGCUGAUGAUGCGGGUUCGAUUCCCGCUGCACGCUCCA
rnacentral:tRNA from 1 species